GGAUGCGAUCAUACCAGCACUAAAGCACCGGAUCCCAUCAGAACUUCGAAGUUAAGCAUGCUUGGGAGAGAGUAGUACUAGGAUGGGUGACCUCCUGGGAAGUCCUGGUGCUGCAUUCC
rnacentral:rRNA from 2 species